GACGAACCGUGCGAACGUUGUUCGGAUUCACUGGGCUUAAAGGGUGUGUAGGCGGUCUGCCAGGUCAGGGGUGAAAUCUUUCGGCUCAACCGGAAAACUGCCUUUGAUACUGGUAGGCUCGAGGGAGGUAGGGGUUGCGGGAACUACCAGUGGAGCGGUGAAAUGCGUUGAUAUUGGUAGGAACGCCGGUGGCGAAAGCGCGCAACUGGAUCUCUUCUGACGCUGAAACACGAAAGCUAGGGGAGCAAACGGG
rnacentral:rRNA from 1 species